CUUUCAUAUUUUUCUGCCAUACUUGCUUUGCUGCAUAAAACUGUAAUAUUAUUGCUUGCUGAAUUCCUAAGACAGAGUGUGCUGUUAACUCGUGGACUUGUUGGUUUGGUUAUAGAUUUGUGAGAAGUACCUAUCAUUGAAGAAAGGUACCCGACCAGACAUAACAACGACAAUUGAAGAUGAGCUUCACAGUGCUCGAUCUUCAUUUGAGCAAGCCCGUUUCAACCUGGUCACUUCACUUUCCCAUGUCGAGGCAAAGAAGAGAUAUGAAUUUUUGGAGGCUGUUAGUGCGAUGAUGGACUCACAUCUUUGAUAUUUUAAACAAG